rnacentral:rRNA from 1 species
UCCACGCCGUAAACGAUGAAUACUAGGUGUAGGGGUUGUCAUGACCUCUGUGCCGCCGCUAACGCAUUAAGUAUUCCGCCUGGGGAGUACGGUCGCAAGAUUAAAACUCAAAGGAAUUGACGGGGGCCCGCACAAGCAGCGGAGCAUGUGGUUUAAUUCGAAGCAACGCGAAGAACCUUACCUAGACUUGACAUCUCCUGAAUUACUCUUAAUCGAGGAAGUCCCUUCGGGGACAGGAAGACAGGUGGUGCAUGGUUGUCGUCAGCUCGUGUCGUGAGAUGUUGGGUUAAGUCCCGCAAC